CCUACGGGUGGCAGCAGUGAGGCAUAUUGGUCAAUGGCCGUAAGGCUGAACCAGCCACGUCGCGUGAAGGAAGAAGGAUCUAUGGUUUGUAAACUUCUUUUAUAGGGGAAUAAAGGUAUCCACGUGUGGAUAUUUGCAUGUACACUAUGAAUAAGCAUGGGGUAACUAUGUGCCAGCAGCCGCGGUAAUACGGAGGCUGCGAGCGUUAACCGGAUUUUUUGGGUUUAAAGGAUGCGUAGGUUGGUUAUCAAGUCAGAGGUGAAAGUUUGUGGCUAAACCAUAAAAUUGCAGUUGAAACUGGAAGACUUGAGUGUGGUUGAGGUAGGCGGAAUGCGUGGUGUAGCGGUGAAAUGCAUAGAGAUCACGCAGAACUCCGAUUGCGAAGGCAGCUUACUAAGCCAUAACUGACACUGAAGCACGAAAGCGUGGGGAUCAAACAGGAUUAGAUACCCUUGUAGUC
rnacentral:rRNA from 1 species